rnacentral:rRNA from 1 species
CCUACGGGAGGCAGCAGUGGGGAAUUUUGGACAAUGGGCGAAAGCCUGAUCCAGCCAUUCCGCGUGCAGGAUGAAGGCCCUCGGGUUGUAAACUGCUUUUGUACAGAACGAAAAGGUUUCUACUAAUACUAGGAGCUCAUGACGGUACUGUAAGAAUAAGCACCGGCUAACUACGUGCCAGCAGCCGCGGUAAUACGUAGGGUGCAAGCGUUAAUCGGAAUUACUGGGCGUAAAGCGUGCGCAGGCGGUUAUAUAAGUCAGAUGUGAAAUCCCCGGGCUCAACCUGGGAACUGCAUUUGAGACUGUAUAGCUAGAGUACGGUAGAGGGGGAUGGAAUUCCGCGUGUAGCAGUGAAAUGCGUAGAUAUGCGGAGGAACACCGAUGGCGAAGGCAAUCCCCUGGACCUGUACUGACGCUCAUGCACGAAAGCGUGGGGAGCAAACAGGAUUAGAUACCCUGGUAGUCCACGCCCUAAACGAUGUCAACUGGUUGUUGGGUCUUAACUGACUCAGUAACGAAGCUAACGCGUGAAGUUGACCGCCUGGGGAGUACGGCCGCAAGGUUGAAACUUAAAUGAAUUGACGG